UACGUAGGGUGCAAGCGUUGUCCGGAAUUAUUGGGCGUAAAGAGCUCGUAGGCGGUUUGUUGCGUCGGCUGUGAAAACCUGAGGCUCAACCUCAGGCCUGCAGUCGAUACGAGCAGACUAGAGUGUUGCAGGGGAGACUGGAAUUCCUGGUGUAGCGGUGAAAUGCGCAGAUAUCAGGAGGAACACCGGUGGCGAAGGCGGGUCUCUGGGAAUGACCUGACGCUGAGGAGCGAAAGUGUGGGGAGCGAACAGG
rnacentral:rRNA from 1 species